UGUUCCAUCAGCCAUCUGCCUGGUUUGCUCCUCUUUGUUUUCCCUUUCUCUUUCCUCGACUGAGAUCUUCUUCCCCUUCCAUUUUCUAGAAACCCUAGCUCUAUCUCCGCAAUCUCCACAAUCUCCAUCGCCCCCUUCACCUAUCUCCUUCCAUCAUCCUGGAUUUUCAGAUCGUCAAUCCCCGUUUUUCUUCAAGAGGAUGUUGUUUUAUGGUGAUCAAAGGCCACGUUCGAGGAUUUUGAGAAGGAGUCCGACAUUGAUGCAUUCGAAUCUAUCCGCUCUCAUGUGACGAAUCGGUUGAUUCUUAAUUCGCCUCUUCAACAAUCAGCACCCAGGUUCUUCAUGAUUAUACUCUCUCAAACAAAUUCUCCGCUGCGAAAACCGUUUGAACCCUCGAAUCUCAGGUAUUGGGGAAUCUAAUUGGCAAUGUCAGUGAGAAAAGCGACGAGGAUAAUGCUUCUCUUAAAACUUUGCGAGAUGCAAGUAUGAAAACAAGGAUGGUAAAGGAAGCAUAUGACAUCGAGAAGCAUCAUAUAUAGUGGAUAGAAGGCUAUGCAGAUAUAUGUUCAACAAAUGGCAUGCCCAAUAAUGAUGGACGGGUAACUAUGAGAAGGUUAUGGAAUUGUACAAUGUCCCGAGGCUUAGCCGUAACUCCUUUCCUCUUCUAACUCCCCCAAGAUCUGAAAAUGAUAAUAGCACUAUCGUAUGUCGCCCGACUUAUUGCUUAAAUAUCAUGUUAUUAAUGCUAAAUAAACUACUACCUGUUGCAACUUGCAAGUUUUCAGUUCUUUACUAGCUUUUUCCUAUUAGUGUAAACAGAAUUAAAACUUUUCUUAUAGAUGUUACAUCCUUUAUCUCUAAUUGUAUCUAAUGGGAAUUGUACUUCAGAAAACAUAUUUGCAAAGAUACAUUUCAACCAAAUGUACCCCAAAAGUAAAACAGUGAGGUUACUUGUU